UAUUGCUCCUGGACGACGACCCCUUCGGAUCCCUACUGGAGCAGAGCUUCCUCCAGGGCGCGGGGGGGUGCGAAGUCCUUCGGGCGGAGG
rnacentral:tRNA from 1 species